GGAAAAGAAGGAAGAUUCAUACACAACUGGAGAACUAGGACCUUCUGGGAGAGGAAACUGGAAGUUGAGUGAGAAGUCAGAAAAGAGGAGACGGUUUGCCGACAGUGAUGAGAUGAGGACCAAGAACAAUGGAUGAGAAGGGCUGCCGAGUAUAUCACACUAUGGCAAGACUACGUAAAUGCCAGGCUGCCUGGAGCUCUUGCAUAGAUUCAUUGGACAAUAUGAAAGGAAAAGCUUUCCAGACAGAGGGAAAAAACAAACAAACACAAAACAAACAGAUGAAAAUGACAGUGCGGAGCAUUGGUCACCAAAACACACCGUGUUAGAUUUGCAGAUGGUUUAAACAAGUAUCACUCUAAUCCUGAGUGACUUCCCAGCAGGGGAAAAACUGAUGUACAAGAUACUCAGACUCGGAAUUUUUCCAGCAUCAAUACUGAAACAGACAUAAGAGGAUCAGUUGACUGACAUUUGGAAAAGCCCACAAACCUGGAUAUGCCUUUAAUAUAUGCUGAUAAUGCAACGGCCAGCUUUAUUAUGACGUGGCUCUACACUUAAUUCUGUCAUAUUUCCUAUGACAUACAUUAUUUUUGGUUUUAUUAGAAAGCAUUUUAUUGUAAUCUACCUUGGCUUCUAUAACAGAAUCAUAUAAAAAUGAUGUAAUAAGGAACACCCACUCAAACUUCCUGCCCACAGUAGUUACAGCGGGUCCUCACAGCCUUGUUUUGAAAGAACUGACAUUCUACAGCCUCUCUGGGAAAUUUAUUUCAUUGCUUAACUGAUAUAUCUGUGAAAAGCUUUCCCUUAUAUCCUAUUUUUUUAAUGUGCUAGUGAAGGAUCUGGAAUUCUAAAAAGUUGUUUGGUUUCCAGAAACAGCAGUGGCUUUGUUCAAACGCUGCAUGCUUUGCUGGAUUCCUGGAUGUGGAUUUAUUAGCAAAUGGUGUUACCAAUCAGAAUUGAACUGAAGGACUGACUUGGGGGCAUGGAGAGAUCCGCUUUUUUAGUGCUGGCAAAUUCACACCAGCCAUCUGAGACAGGUGCACACAACCUCUCUUCUAACAGAUUACAGAACUUGUUCAAUUUAUUUACCAAUUAAAUCCCUGGAGCACAUUCAACACGCCUUUU
rnacentral:lncRNA from 7 species